AUUGAACGCUGGCGGCAUGCCUUACACAUGCAAGUCGAACGGUAACGGGCCUUCGGGUGCCGACGAGUGGCGAACGGGUGAGUAAUACAUCGGAACGUGCCCGAUCGUGGGGGAUAACGAGGCGAAAGCUUUGCUAAUACCGCAUACGAUCUACGGAUGAAAGCAGGGGACCGCAAGGCCUUGCGCGGACGGAGCGGCCGCUGGCAGAUUAGGUAGUUGGUGGGAUAAAAGCUUACCAAGCCGACGAUCUGUAGCUGGUCUGAGAGGAUGAUCAGCCACACUGGGACUGAGACACGGCCCAGACUCCUACGGGAGGCAGCAGUGGGGAAUUUUGGACAAUGGGCGCAAGCCUGAUCCAGCCAUGCCGCGUGAAGGAUGAAGGCCUUCGGGUUGUAAACUGCUUUUGUACGGAACGAAAAGCCUUCUUUUAAUACAGGAGGGUCAUGACGGUACCGUAAGAAUAAGCACCGGCUAACUACGUG
rnacentral:rRNA from 1 species